rnacentral:lncRNA from 1 species
UCAAAAUCGUCCCCCAUCUCUCCCUCUCUCUCUACCUUCAAAUCUUCAAGACUUGUUCUUCAUUCAAAGCUUUGAAGGUGAUCCAUGGAGGUUGCAAGUUGAAGGGCAUUCAAAGGAGCUUUGUUCUAGUCUUGUUCAUCAUCUUUCUCACCAUCAUCUUCACUAGAAUUUCUACCCUAGCUUUGUGCUAGUAGUUGUCGUGUAGCGGACAGGGUUUGAGAUUCGAUUCAAGACGCACUACUGUGAGUACAUAGACCCCUCUCUUACUGUUUUCCAAUGUUUGGGGAGCUGUUGCUUAGGAUGUUCGUGACACACUAGGGCGGACCUAUGCCUUAGAGACUAAAAUAAAGAUGGAACUAGUUUAAUUAUGUGAUGAACACUUUGUUUCAGUUAAUUUAAGACUAUGUAACUCUUUGCUUGAU